rnacentral:rRNA from 1 species
GACGGAGGGGGCUAGCGUUGUUCGGAAUUACUGGGCGUAAAGCGCACGUAGGCGGCUUUGCAAGUCAGAGGUGAAAGCCCGGGGCUCAGCCCCGGAAUUGCCUUUGAGACUGCAUCGCUAGAAUUGUGGAGAGGUAAGUGGAAUUCCGAGUGUAGAGGUGAAAUUCGUAGAUAUUCGGAAGAACACCAGUGGCGGAGGCGACUUACUGGACACAUAUUGACGCUGAGGUGCGAAAGCGUGGGGAGCAAACAGG